rnacentral:lncRNA from 1 species
GCUUGACUCCUUUCCAAACAUUCCACUGUGUUCGUCAAUUUUUUUGGGGCUUCCCUCAUGGCGGUCAUUUGAGGGUCCUGCCGUCGUGGAGAACUUGGUGGUGUGUUCGUUUCGUGAGGGUGGGUGUGAGAUGGAUUUCUGGAACUUGAACUAUGACUUAUGGCUCUCGGAUUUUAUGGAGAGAAUGAGACUAUUUUUCACAAUUAGGGCCCUCCUUCUAGCGCCAAACUGUUGACGUCAAAAUUAGUAAGGCUAAUCUUAAGCCAACUUUAAGAUUAAAGGGCGAUUUAUUGUUGAAAAAAGACCACAAAGUAUGUUUAGAGAGUGUAAUUAUGCCUUGAGUUGUUGUGUGAAAUCUAUUUUCUUUUACAAGAGUCCUA